UGCCCAAGAGAUCGGGAUAACACCUGGAAACAGAUGCUAAUACCGGAUAACAAUAGAUGAUGCCUAUCAACUGUUUAAAAGAUGGUUCUGCUAUCACUCUUGGAUGGACCUGCGGUGCAUUAGCUAGUUGGUAGGGUAACGGCCUACCAAGGCGAUGAUGCAUAGCCGAGUUGAGAGACUGAUCGGCCACAUUGGGACUGAGACACGGCCCAAACUCCUACAGGAGGCAGCAGUC
rnacentral:rRNA from 1 species